rnacentral:miRNA from 1 species
AGAGAUACCUCCGGAGAAGCG